CUCCCCGUAGCUCAGAGGACAGAGCACCGGACUCCGAAGCCGGGCGCCGCAGGUUCGAUCCCUGCCGGGGAGA
rnacentral:tRNA from 1 species